UAGAAUCAUGUGGACCCCAGUAUAACAAAUCUAUGGAAAGAGAGAAAAUCUCAGCUCAAGGGUCAACAUGUCUUUAUUCCAAGAAAGAGUGUACAUAUGCCAGAAUCAUAUGGACUGCAGACUGGCCCUGGUGAUUCCGUUAAGAAAAAAGAGGAAAAAUCAGUGCUUGUGCUCAUUGGUCAUUGGACAAAGGGUGUAUGCCAGAAUUUUUUCAAGAACAGUCUGAAUCUGACAUGGAAAAAAUGAAGAAAAACAGCCUUCCUGUUUAUAAAUCUACAUUCUGACAAAGGGUAAGAAAGAAAUUCAGGAUUUCUUAAAUUGCCCUUGGAGUUCUUGGAUUGCAUCAAACUGCUAAAAGACCUCAACAAAAACAGCGUCUUGAAAAUAAAAAUGAAAAUAUUCAGUGAAAAAAAAAUGAUGAAAGAGCCACUAAAAAUCUUCAAGCCUUUGAGCUGAAAUCUGGAAGUCAAUCUGUGGACUUUACUAGUAAGUCAUAAUUACUAAGUCAUCAUUUGUGUAUAAUAAAUACACUAAACUGUAAACACUUGUUAAAAUGUGUAUAAUUUUUAGAUAUAAUUUGUAUCUCAUAGACUUCAAUAGUUUCAUGUAAUUUAAGUAAUAAUGAAAAUUUCCUGUUGUCUAGCUAGAUUAGAAACUAUUAUUGUCCAAUUUUGGAUAUUGUGAAAUAAUUCAUCUAGUAUGCAUACAUGUGUGUACACUUUAAGUGAUUUUUCUACACCAAAUUUAGGUCCGAAUAUCGGCCCUUUCCCCUGUCAAAAGUUACCAAGUUUUUCCCAAUUUAAAUUGCUUUUUUCCCAAAAUAAAACCAUGAUGAAGAAUAAAGACAAUCAUUGACAAAUUUCAAAGAUUUAAAAAAAAUAAGAAAGUUAUAAAAUUUAAUGUAC